AUGGUACAUAAAAAUUUGAGGGAAUGAUCUUACUUGAAUAGUCGUACUCAUAACCGCAGCAGGUCUCCAAGGUUAGAAGCCUCUAGUUGGCAGAAUAAUGUAGGUAAGGGAAGUCGGCAAAAUAGAUCUGUAACUUCGGGAAAAAGAUUGGCUCUAAAGGCUGAGUAUAUGGGCUAUAUUUUGAAGUUGUUGGAGAUUAGAUUAUUACGAUUGGCUGUCAUGGUUGGUUGUGAUGGUUUAGUUAAAGAUGAUGGAGGGGUAUAGGCAAUUGUAAAGGUUGUGCUGUAUACAAUUAACAGCUAAUUUAGAACUGUUACUGACCAGGGGAAUCCGACUGUUUAAUUAAAACAAAAGCAUUGUGAUGUUCUCAAUAAGGAUUUUAACACAAUGUGAUUUCUUGCCC
rnacentral:rRNA from 1 species